GCCGUGAUCGUAUAGUGGUUAGUACUCUGCAUUGUGGCCACAGCAACCCCGGUUUGAGUCCGGGUCACGGCA
rfam:Danio rerio chromosome 4, GRCz11 reference primary assembly.